GACGUAGGGCGCGAGCGUUGUCCGGAUUUAUUGGGCGUAAAGAGCUCGUAGGCGGCUUGUCGCGUCGACUGUGAAAACUGGAGGCUCAACCUUCAGAGGUCGACCGAAACCAUCUGGCUAGAGUCCGGGAGAGGAGAGUGGAAUUCCUGGUGUAGCGGUGAAAUGCGCAGAUAUCAGGAAGAACACCCGUGGCGAAAGCGGCUCUCUGGAACGGUACUGACGCUGAGACGCGAAAGCGUGGGGAGCGAACAGG
rnacentral:rRNA from 1 species